rnacentral:lncRNA from 1 species
UAAUAAAAUAUUUUUUUCAGAAAAAGUUGCUUUUGGAACGUUUAAAGGCACUCAAGCUUGAUACAUUAGCUACAACAACUGCAGCUAAAAUGAUUAUGAGUGAAAUCUUCUCUCAAGACAUGCUGAAAAACAUGUGCUAUGCUGGGCACAAAACAUAUAAGGAGAAGAAGAUGGCAGUCAAAAAUGGAAUUGUGUACAUCACACUGAUAGCUGUGCUAAAAAAACUGGGACACAAAGACGUAAUGAAGAUCGAAAAAGGUCUUAAAGACGCCAUGUACAAGGCAAAUGAUAAUAUUACGAAGGAGAUCAGGAAAAAAAAAUUGGAAUAAAAAUUGUUCUUAUAAA